GAAAUCGUACCCCAAACCGACACAGGUGGUCAGGUAGAGAAUACUCAGGCGCUUGAGAGAACUCGGGUGAAGGAACUAGGCAAAAUGGUGCCGUAACUUCGGGAGAAGGCACGCUGGCGCUAGGUGAAGAGACUUGCUCUCGGAGCUGAAGCCAGUCGCAGAUACCAGCUGGCUGCAACUGUUUAAUAAAAACACAGCACUGUGCAAACACGAAAGUGGACGUAUACGGUGUGACGCCUGCCCGGUGCUGGAAGGUUAAUUGAUGGGGUCAGCCGCAAGGCGAAGCUCUUGAUCGAAGCCCCAGUAAACGGCGGCCGUAACUAUAACGGUCCUAAGGUAGCGAAAUUCCUUGUCGGGUAAGUUCCGACCUGCACGAAUGGCGUAAUGAUGGCCAGGCUGUCUCCACCCGAGACUCAGUGAAAUUGAACUCGCUGUGAAGAUGCAGUGUACCCGCGGCAAGACGGAAAGACCCCGUGAACCUUUACUAUAGCUUGACACUGAACAUUGAGCCUUGAUGUGUAGGAUAGGUGGGAGGCAU
rnacentral:rRNA from 1 species